rnacentral:rRNA from 1 species
GCGUAAGCGCGCGCAGGCGGUUUCUUAAGUCUGAUGUGAAAGCCCCCGGCUCUACCGGGGAGGGUCAUUGGAAACUGGGGAACUUGAGUGCCGAAGAGGAGAGUGGAAUUCCACGUGUAGCGGUGAAAUGCGUAGAGAUGUGGAGGAACACCAGUGGCGAAGGCGACUCUCUGGUCUGUAACUGACGCUGAGGCGCGAAAGCGUGGGGAGCGAACAGGAUUAGAUACCCUGGUAGUCCACGCCGUAAACGAUGAGUGCUAAGUGUUAGAGGGUUUCCGCCCUUUAGUGCUGCAGCAAACGCAUUAAGCACUCCGCCUGGGGAGUACGGUCGCAAGACUGAAACUCAAAGGAAUUGACGGGGGCCCGCACAAGCGGUGGAGCAUGUGGUUUAAUUCGAAGCAACGCGAAGAACCUUACCAGGUCUUGACAUCCUCUGACAACCCUAGAGAUAGGGCUUCCCCUUCGGGGGCAGAGUGACAGGUGGUGCAUGGUUGUCGUCAGCUCGUGUCGUGAGAUGUUGGGUUAAGUCCCGCAACGAGCGCAACCCUUGAUCUUAGUUGCCAGCAUUCAGUUGGGCACUCUAAGGUGACUGCCGGUGACAAACCGGAGGAAGGUGGGGAUGACGUCAAAUCAUCAUGCCCCUUAUGACCUGGGCUACACACGUGCUACAAUGGGCAGAACAAAGGGCAGCGAAGCCGCGAGGCUAAGCCAAUCCCACAAAUCUGUUCUCAGUUCGGAUCGCA